CUGCAAUCUGAGCCCUUUAUCUGGAUCUGUUCCUACACAGCCAGCAGGGUCUCCCUCCCACCCCUUUUCAGUCCCUGGAAGGCUCGAGUGGAUGAGAGAAGACCUAGUGGUUGUGGCUACUAGGGCUUCUUCUCUUCCUUUCCACUGGCCACAGCCCCAUGGACCAGGGCUUCUACUCUGGGUCACUCUGGAUGAAGGAAAAGCUCAUCUGAAGCCAGAGGAAAGAGGGGUUUCUUUAUACUAGGUUUUUCCUUUAUUCUUCCUUCCAUCAGAGGGCAAGAGGAGUGAGCUUCUCACCUGUGCAGGAUCUGGGGCUCUCCUCCAGGAAAUUCUGAUUGCCUCACAGUAAUACAAGUAGGGGGAGAGAAUGAGAACAGUCUGUCGAAUUUGGUAACAAAGACGUCAUUUUGUAAGGAAAUGCUGUUUUGAUUCCUUUGAUGAAAUCACAUCUCAUCCUGCAAUGAUGGUGGUGGAGGACAACAGAGCUGGGAAGAUUUUUUUCUCCUUUUUGAACUCAUAGCCAGCCAUAUUGUUCCGGGGCACAGAUCAGCAGGUUACAUAUCCGAGUCCUAUAGGGUGAAGCAGAAGGCCUGAGUGGAGGCAGGAGUUUCUCCUGCACACGCCCCCUUCGCUGCCGUGCCUUUUUCGAGUUCUGGUUUCCGGUCUAGAGAUGGAGACCUGCUUCUUCCCUACUCAGAGGCUGGGUCUCAACAGAAUAACCCGCAGAACUCAGCACAGCGUUGGGAGACAGAGGUCUGCGUCCCUGGCAGUUGCUCCCGCAUGUUUGCCCCAGAUUCUGCAAGCCUUACAUUAUCAGCUGACAAGGCUCACAGCUAUUCGUGCAAACUCUGAGCCCAACCAUUCAUUCAUUCAACACCAGUUAUGUGCCAUACACUGUGCUAGGCACUAUGAAGGAACAGUGAAUUAAAAGCAGACUUGGCCCCUGCUCUCAUGGAGCUAGUAGGGGAGAAAAUUUCAACUGUGGUAAGUUCUAUGAAGGAAAAGGAUGGGAUUAACUUUGAUGGGAUGAGAGGUGUUCUGGAAAAUUUGCUUGAGUUCAGAGACAUAAUAUUCAAAUAUAUUUAUUUGUAUGCAUGUGUGUAAGCAAUAUUUAAGAAGUAUCUGGGACUUGGACAAAAACAGUUUUUUAAAUAAUAACUUUAUUGAAAUAUAGUUCACAUACCACACAAUUCACCUAUUUAAAGUGUAGAAUUCAGUGGUUUUUGUUGGUACCUUAUUAAUUUUUAAAAAUUGUGGUAAAAUAUAUACAAAAUUUGCCAUUUUAGCUACUUUUAAUUGUUCAAUUGACAGCAAUUAUAUUCAAAAUGUUAUGCAACCACCAUCACUGUGUAUUUCCAAAACUUUUUAUCAUCCCAAACAGAAACUCUAUGCCUGUUAAGCAAUAAUUCCUAACUCCUCCGCUCCCAGUCCCUCGUAACCUCUAUUCUGCUUUCUGUCUCGAUGAAUAUUCCUAUUCUAGGUAUCUCAUAUAGGUGGAAGCAUAUAGGAUUUGUCUUUUUAUAUCUGGCUUAUUUCACUUAGAUAAUGUGUUCAAAGUUCAUUAAUGUUGAGGUAUGAAUCAGAACUUCAUUUUUAUAGCUGAAUAAUAACCCACUGUGUGUCUAUACAUCAUAUUUUGUUUAUUAAUUCAUCUGUUGAUGGACACUUGGAUUGUUUCUACCUUUUUGCUGUUGUGAAUAAUGCUACAAUAAACAUUGACGUG
rnacentral:lncRNA from 1 species